GGUCCGCUCGCCGCCCAGUGCGCGUGCUCAGCACCGGCCGGGACCAGCCGAGGAGCGCCUUCCUCGCCUCCUUUCUUCGACAGAGCCGCAGCACCUGCCUUUCCUCCCCCCCGGUGACGUCACGGCAUUCCUCAAUACCUGGCCCAGAAGCGGAGCGGGGCGAGUUCUCGACUCUUUCCUUCUCCCUCGAACAAGCUACUGUGGAGAAAAGCUGCACAUAGAUCAUGGAUUCCAACAGAAAAAGCCAUCAUGACGACAAAGCUUAAAAGAGAGGGAGCAAGCCACCCUUUUCUAGCAAAAACAGCGACGAAGAGGUCGGGGUUUUGGCAAGUUCUCUGACGCUCUGCUGGACCCCUGGGGUCCCCACUCAACCGUGGGGGUUUUUCGGGGGGCGCCUAGCCCUAGUGCUCGCCCCCGGAGCCCUGACAGCCAGAACCGUGUCGUCCUUUACUCGGACGACACGGAGCAUGCCACCAUUCCCUCCGCUGCAGACCGAAAGUCCCUUUAAUUUGGCUUAUUACACUGAGCACAAUGGACUGUGUGUGUCACAUAAACUGUUCCUAAACAAAACAGCCGUGGAAUAGAAAUGCUGACUUAAAAUGACUAAAUAUCAAGGCUAAAAAUAAGGACUAUCAAGAGGAAUCGACGAAAUAUAUCGUGACAAUAUGACAUUUGGGAGAGGUUACAAAUGUAUUCCCCCCAAAAAACAAGCAAGUACACUUGUACCAUGAAUCAUUCCCAACAGCACCAGCCAGCCGGGCCAAUGGGCAGGGAUGAAAGAGUUAUAAUUCAACCAUUUCAGGAGGGCCACCAGCUUCCUAUUCCUGGAAAAUGUGGUACCCUUUGGGUACCCAGCCUCAAGCCAUGUAGGGCUUUAAAGGCAACCACCAGCAUUUUGAAUUGUGCCCAGAGAUGCACUAAGAACCAAUGCAGCUAUUUUAGCACCAUCAAGAUGCACUUCUGUAAUCCCGUGAAGUGGUGGUUGUUGCUGUUCAGAUUGCUGCUGGGUGUCUUCUUCACCUCACAUCUCCUGAUGUGGAUGGAGAUAAGGCCUAGCUGAAAAGAGUGGAUAUUAAACCUUAACCGGUUGGCACCAAGGCUUCUCCUACUUUCACAUUCUACCUUUGCUCUGACGAAUGGGAGGAAAUUGUGUCCCUCUGCCUCCAUUGUGGAACACAUGGGUAGAGCGUUCCUCUGGGGAGUAACUGCAGGAAAUAGACUGUCAAAUAUAAUUUGGACCCACGCAACCUGUUGCCAGUCGUGUUUAAAUAUUUUCCUCCCCAGAAGAGGCUGGGGCUCCAGGUCCAGCCCUGCCAUUUAAUAAAAUUGGCCAUAGGGGGAUGGGGCAUCCUAGAAAACACAAAUAAUUAGGAGAGCUGAAAGCUGGCGGCUUAUGGUUGCUGCAAAUCCAUUUUGUUUUGGCUUGAGAAACUGGAUUCAGCCUCCGAGCCGCUGCCAUCUUAUCUCAUCACACCACCAUGGUGAUAAGGUAAUGAUUAGUGGUCGGCUUCUUUUGUGCUAAAAGAGAUAGUUCUGCCUGUGCUUUGUCCUUUCCAGCUGUAAUUGUAGGGUUUGUAAGGAAAGGAUAUUUUAGAAGCUGAGCUGGUGAUCCGUUGCAGUUGAGCGUUUACCUGUCACAUCAGUUUUAAAGGCAAACCACCAUAAACUAAAACGCCUUUGCUUUGAAUGAUUGAUGAAAGAAACUUGAUGAAGGGCUCCCUUUUGCAGAGAGCAGAAGAUUGGUUUGCAUUGAAAUGAGCGGGCAAAAAACAGAGCACAGAGCAACCUUUAUUGAAACUGACUCCUCUUGGGUCUCAGUUUACAUUUCUGGAGGCUGGUGUUCCAAAUACCGUACUCUUAGGUGAAAGGAGAUACUGUAGGUGGAAUGAAAGAGGCAACAGUCAGGCAGCUGGCAACUGUAACCUACCACUAAGUAUUUCAAUGAUACCUGUAGAUCACUCUUGAAUUCGUCUUCUCUUUUUAAAGUUUAAAGUCCAGGCUUAGAUAAAUAAUUCACAGGUACUUCGUAGAAUGCUCACUUCGUGAACUUCGAUAUAGAUCAAAACGAUGACAACAAAAACCCUCGGCUGUUGUCAUAAUGACUUUCCUUACUUAGUUCCUGCCACUACCUACUUUGGUAAUUGAAAGGCCCAUUGUGAGGAGCCCUGGUAGCUGCCACCAUGCUAGUCUCGGUAAUAAAAGACAGACAGUUUUCUUGAGAAGUUUUGCCAGACCGCUUUCUGCCUUGUGGGUUGCACAGAGCUUACUUAUAGGCAGCAUGAAAUCUGAAGAAGAUCGUUUGACCCAGUGAAAAUACAGCAGCAUAGCUGCCAAGUUUUCCCUUUUCUCACGAGGAAGCCUAUUCAGCAUAAGGGAAAAUCCCUUAAAAAAAGGGAUAACUUGGCAGCUAUGUACAGCAGGAAAAUAAAAUAUUCCAGUGACUCAUUCAACCUUAUUUGUGGCCAGUGACACACCCCACCCCAUAAGUCAUUCUGGAAUAUAAUUGGAGAACUGGUGGCCUUCAGAAGUUGUUGGUGACCAGCCAUCCAAGGGUCAGAGAGUAUGGGAGCUGUAUUUCAGCAAUAUCUGGAGGACACAGAUUUCCCUAUGUCAAGAGUGUGUGGCCUUCUGAAAGCCCUGAGAAGAAUAUACAUAAAAGAUGGAGAAAUAACUCAGCAGAACAAAAAAGAAAGAAGCCAAUAGCAGGCAUGCAAGCCUGGACAAGUGUGGAUUCUACAGGUUUCAUAUCUUGGUUUAUUCUUCCUAAAGACUAAGCAGGAAAUGACUAUUACCCAUCAUCACCACAACCAGUCAGUUCAUUCCCUGCAUUAUGGACAUUGCCCAUUAAUAAAGCAUAUCUUUGGGUAAUAAAAGGCUCAACUCUUUCUGUAGGCUACCAUUGUUUUGGAUCUGACUAUUGGCUAAGUCUGCUUCCACGGGAAUAGUUUCUCUAAAAAGAGCGGUCAUGAGCAAAGCACCCUGUUGUGCAAGUGAUAUGUUUUGGUCAUGCUUGGUCAUCUUUCGCAUGCCACUUAUACAUGGGCAGUUACACCCCUGGUGUGUUAAAAUGGCCAAAUGAGAGGGAAGCUGCCAUAGGAAUACAAUUUUGUUACCACAUAGGAAAUGAGGGUUAGUAAAUGACCUGGAACAUCGACCUCAGGCCAGCAAGGAGAGGAAGCUGUUUGUAACGGACCAACAGCUGGAAUAGAUCCCCAGAUGGAGUGAGCUCUGUUGCCAACAGUACUAUAAGAAAAGUAAAAUUUCCAAACCACUUUAAAAAUCUGAGGACAUUCCUAUAUCGAGUGGGUUCAGAACGAUACAGGAUCAAAGCCCUUAGUAAUCCUUACUAAUAAGGGAGCCACAUGAAUGUACAGUACAUUAAGACUUAGGUGGGCUAGUAGAAGCAGAGGCAGGACUGGAUUAAUUAUUAGACUAAGUAUACUACAAAAUAUGCUUCAGCGUUGGCCUAUUCUGCUCCUAGCACUCGUCUCCUUUAGAAUCCAUCAGAAUCUGUGGUGUGGAUUUAAGCCGGGGAUGGGAAAUCUGUGACCUUACAGAGGUUGUUGGACUCCCAUCAUCCCUGACCACCGGCUAUGAGCUACAUGUGGCCAGUAAGAUUGUCAGGUCCUAUCUAGGAGAGACUUCUAGGGGGGGAAAGAAUCUAUGAAGCACACUGACUCUCAGCUCUCAAGGAAACUAAGGCCUGUGUCCUCAAAAUUAGCAAACCAGUCAGUAUAAUCAUGGCUGCAAUCCACAACACAUUUACUAUGUAAUAGUCCUAUUAAAAUCAAGGUGAUUUGCCUGGACAAAGUGGAUUGUAGGAUAUAAAUGAAGCCAGUGUCCACAUUUUUGUUGAGCCAUGUUGUGGCUUGUUUCCCAUUGUGGAAGAUUGCUGCUUCCCCCUUGGGAACCCUUCUGCCAAGUUGGGCAACAAUAUCUUCAAAGGCUGGACACAGGUUGGAACUGCCACACCAAAAAUUGGACAAAGCCAUGCCAAUGUCACGUUUUGGCCUGCCAUCUGGGUUCAAAAUGGUGGUCAGCAUUCUGACAUUGAUGAAAACCGCUGCCACCACCUUGGGAACCCUUGUAACUAGUUUGAAAUCAGUGCAGAUUGGACCUGACACACCAAAAAGUCAUGCCAAAUCUUGAUUCAAAAUGGUGGCCAGUGUCCCAAUGUCAGUGAAAACUCCCACCUCAGGAACCUUUAUGCCAACUUUGGCAAUGAUAUCUUAAGAAGCGGCCAAACCUUUUGGGAAGAAGCAAAGAAGCCAUUUCCCAAAAUGUAAGUCUUCCCUAAAUCAAGCAUUUGAUUUAAUUGAUGAUGGAGUGCUGCUCCUCUUGAACACCUCCUUUCCCUGAACAUGGGGGGAAAAGUUGGCUCAUGUUUCCAUAUUUCUGAAUGUAUAAGGAAAGAUGUGUAAGUGCAUGCCUCCCUACCCUAUUUACAACCCUGCCUACAAAUCUGCCAAAGCCCAAAUUUAAUUGGCUUGUGGAAUGGAAUGUUAGAGUUAAUUCACCCAUUAGCAUGUCAUUACUACUCUUCCAUUCUUUAUGGAGCUUAACCAUUUUUGUCUGUUUGUUUUGAUCUUUUUAAAACGUCGCAUAACCAAAUUUUAAAGGGAUUUUUGCAGACGAAGAUUAGAAACAGGCUUUGUGCCCUAUGUGCUAAGAUAAUGCCUUUUGUUGAAUCACAAAUGACAGGUCAUUCUGUUUUGUUAUUUCUCAAUGGUCCCCAUUUCAGUUAUGUGAUCUUGGUAUUGAGUGAUAAAUUCACGCUUGUGCACUUUAUAGGUGUUGUGUGUCUCCCUUCCUGCACUGGAAGGUGUAAGCUGAUCUUUCUUUGGCAGCCCUGCAAGAAUUCAGUUUUUAGAGGAAGGAAAUUAAUACCAGGCAGCAUGCAAUAGCAAGGAAAGGAAUGUCUUCUUAGAUCUCAUUUUCAUUUAGAUCUUGUAUCACCUUUGUAUCACCUUUGGGGGGGGCACUUAAUAACUUAACAGAUGAGUAGAGUUGGUGUAGUGCAGUGUUUCCCAACCAGUGUGCCUCCAGAUGUUUUGGGACUACAACUCCCAUCAUCCCUAGCUAGCAAGACCAGUGGUCAGGAAUGAUGGGAGUUGUAGUCCCAAAACAUCUGGAGGCACACUGGUUGGGAAACACUGGUGUAGUGCAUGGGAAGGCAAACUAAGGCCCGGGGACCGGAUCAGGCCCAAUCGCCUUCUAAAUCUGGCCCGCGGACGGUCUGGGUUAUUUGUGGGGCAUAGGAAUUCAUUCUUUUUUCUUUUUCUUCAAAAUAUAGUCCGGCCCCACCACAAGGUCUGAGGGGCAGUGGACCGGCCCCCUGCUAAAAAAGUUUGCUGACCUUACUUCUGGAGUGGCAUAACCACUGCCACAUCUCCAGCCCUGUCGCUAUGGAUGGAAGGAUCUCUCAUUUCCUCAUCCAGCUCUCCACAUUUCACCUGCAUUUUGCAUUAAAAACAAACAGCAGCAGCAGCAGCAGCAGCAGCAACAACAACAACAAACUAACCUGCUCAAAAUUCGCCAGCAUUUUAGUGCAAACUUCUCCCACCCACCUGCGAUCUCUUAAAACGAAGGGGGAAGGAGAUUGUGGGAGGCUCAGGAGUCACGGGCGGGUGGUGAGCCGUUGCACAGGAGGGGCACAAGGUGCACGGUUUCUCUGCUGGGCAAGGUGCAAAGCCCUUCUUUCGCACUCUUCGAUCCCCCCCCCACCUCUGCCUAUGCAAAAACUAUCUUCCCACCCCUCCAGCUGCAUAUUACUCCAGGAGAGCAGGGUGCCAUUUCCAGGGCACAUUUAAUGAAAUCCGGGGACGGACUUUGUUCAGGGACAGAUUUGCAAAUCCGCGGACUGUCCCUGGGAAACAGGGACAUCUGGUAACCCUAAUCUAACUAUAUAACUGCAUAUAAAAAGCAGAGCCACUGCCCAAACUAUCAAGAUCAUGUGCAGAUUGGGGACUCCACACAGCACACAAUAUUCUCCUAUUCAGACCCCGGAAUCCCCUUUGCAGUUGACUGCCAUUUUUGUCCAGGUUCUUCUUCCUGAUCUUUCUUGCCGCCAGCUCAAAGAGGGCCACAUUAUAAGUCACUGGAGCAUUAGCAUCACUGAGCAGCCAUAGAACCCUCUCCUCCGAGGAAAGAAAGCGCAAUGGACACUUGAGAGAAAAAUUUCUAGCUCUCAGGAGGUAGCACAUGCUUUGCUUUCCGAGCACAAUUCAAAGUGUUGGUGUUGACCUUUAAAGCCUUAAACAGCCUUGGUCCAGUAUACCUGAAGGAGCGUCUCCACCCCCAUCGUUCUGCCCGGACACUGAGGUCCAGCGCCAAGGGCCUUCUGGUGGUUCCCUCGCUAAGAGAAGCCAAGUUACAGGGAACCAGGCAGAGGGCUUUCUCGGUAGUGGCACCCACCCUGUGGAAUGCCCUCCCACCAGAGGUCAAAGAGAACAACAAUUACCAGACCUUUAGAAGGCAUCUCAAGGCAGCCCUGUUUAGGGAAGUUUUUAAUGUUUGAUGGAUUUCUGUAUUUUAAUGUUUUGUUGGAAGCCGCCCAGAGUGGCUGGGGGAACCCGGCCAGAUGGGCGGGGUAUAAAUAAUAAGUUGUUGUUGUUGUUGUUGUUGUUGUUGUUGUUGUUGUUGUUGUUGCAUGCAAAAGGUCUCAGAUUCAGACUCUAUGACAUUUGUUGAGCUGUGAAGUGUUCCUGCCUGAAAACCUGGAGAGCUUAUGUGAGGGUCUGCCUCAAUAUCAAGCAAGCUCCCUUGUUCCUGUUGUGAUCUGGUUCAUUGACUGGGGUGCUCCUAGAGCCAAAUUUUACCACCAGAGGCUUAAGUGACCUUGGCUGCAAGUGUGUGUGUUUCACUAGCUAAAGCAGCUUUACGCAAGCUGUGUGAACUCUCCUGGUCACAAUUAUCCAUGCUCUGUUAAGCUCCAAGUUGGAUGGAAAAGUGUUUGGAAACAUCAGCUAUUGCAAAACACUCAGCCGCUAUAGGCUCUUAGCUGGGAUCAGGUGAAGGGAGCACAUCUCACUGAUUCUUGAAGAGCAGCACUGGCUGCCUGCCCAACUUCAAAGCACAAUUCAAAGUGCUGGUGCUCAGCUUUAAACCUCAAUAUGGCUUGGGUCUUCCUUAAUAUCAACCAGCUGGUGUAUUACAUGGGUCUUCAGGUGCAGCACCAGCUCAGGUGAAGCAGGUGGUGACUCGAGAAAGGGCCUUUGGAUGAUCAAACUCCACCUAUGGAAUACUCUCCCAUGGGGGAGGCUUACCUGGCACUUGCGAUGCUAUAUUUUCAGCGACAGGCAGAGACCAUUUUUCUUUCCCCACGCCAUGAAACAUCUGCCCAGAUUUCAGUAUUUUUUUAUUGCUGCUUUUGUUUCACUACAUUGAUUGUUAUUGUUUUAUUACACUUUCAUGUGUGUUUUAUUGUUGGUUGUGAACCAAAAUACCUAUAUAAUCACAACAACAUUGUUUUCCUUCCAUUCUUCCUACUGCACUCUUCUGUGGUACAUACAUUGUAAGGAACUUAGAUUUGAAGGAGCCACAAAUUCCUUUGCUGUAGAGUUCGUAUCACCGGGGCAAGAACUCAUGAACAGAACAAUUAUCAGAUGAAUCUUGAACAUUCAGUAUAGGUUCGGUGUUUUUUUUUCAGGGGGUACUCAAAGGUACGCAGUACCAGUACCUAUUUUCUUGUUGUUAAAAAGUACUUACUGUAACAACUUCAUGCUGAGUACUGGCACCUAUUUUUCUAGGGGGGGGGGAAGCACUGUAUAGGUUCAUAUGCAUACCACAAGCUAACAUUUGAAACAGUUUCUUGCAACCAUUCCCAAACCAAAUUUUAAUCAAUUCCAUGUAAAAGAAGCAUUGUGUCCCAUUUUAUUCAUACUGAAGUAAAGAUACAAAGCCUUGAAUGACAAAUCUACCGGUAUAUUGGAGAGUCCGGAAUCCAGAUUUCCUGCGCCAGCUCUUUAAUCACAAAACCACUCGCCUUUAUUUCCUAAAGCACAAUAGUGUGCUGUAUAAAUAGCACCUUACCCUGCAGAAGGAAUGGGAAGGAAACCAGGAAGCAACACCAAAACAUUCUCUUCCCGCACUCAUGUACAAAGAGUGGUAUAUACUUGAGCUUGGUGGAUAUAACACAUUAAGAUCUGAAUUAGACAGAUCUGAAUUUGGUCUGAUUGUGGAGCUGCUGCACAACC